rnacentral:lncRNA from 1 species
GUAGCGAAAAUGCUACUAUGACUCUUCCUGGAAUACACCCACCUACCUUGAACCAGAUUAUGGAUUGGAUAUGUCUACUUCUGGAUGCAAAUUUUACUGUUGUUGUAAUGAUGCCAGAAGCAAAGAGGCUACUGAUAAAUCUUUACAAGCUUGUAAAAUCUCAGGCAAGAACGGUGUUUUGUUUGCGACCAUCUCAGUGUCAAGAGAAACGUGUCAGUGAGUACCUGGACCAUCACUUAACUGAUGCUCCGGGGUAGGACUGCAGGUUUCACAUGAACCUGUUCUAGGCUGUGGACAUUGGUGUGGAGAGGUUCUGCAAUUUUUUAAAAAUAUGUAACUGGGUUGAUUUUAAGUAAAAUUAUUUGUGUAUUGAUAAAAGUCUAAUUUCUUAUCAUGUGUUUUGAAUUUUUUCUUUUAAUAAAAAAUGACCAUUGAAGCAGUGA